rnacentral:rRNA from 1 species
GACGAACGCUGGCGGCGUGCUUAACACAUGCAAGUCGAACGGAAAGGCCCUGCUUUUGUGGGGUGCUCGAGUGGCGAACGGGUGAGUAACACGUGAGUAACCUGCCCUUGACUUUGGGAUAACUUCAGGAAACUGGGGCUAAUACCGGAUAGGAGCUCCUGCUGCAUGGUGGGGUUGGAAAGUUUCGGCGGUUGGGGAUGGACUCGCGGCUUAUCAGCUUGUUGGUGGGGUAGUGGCUUACCAAGGCUUUGACGGGUAGCCGGCCUGAGAGGGUGACCGGCCACAUUGGGACUGAGAUACGGCCCAGACUCCUACGGGAGGCAGCAGUGGGGAAUAUUGCACAAUGGGCGGAAGCCUGAUGCAGCAACGCCGCGUGCGGGAUGACGGCCUUCGGGUUGUAAACCGCUUUCGCCUGUGACGAAGCGUGAGUGACGGUGAUGGGUAAAGAAGCACCGGCUAACUACGUG